rnacentral:rRNA from 1 species
GUAGGUGGCAAGCGUUGUCCGGAAUUAUUGGGCGUAAAGCGCGCGCAGGCGGUUCUUUAAGUCUGAUGUGAAAGCCCACGGCUCAACCGUGGAGGGUCAUUGGAAACUGGAGAACUUGAGUACAGAAGAGGAAAGCGGAAUUCCACGUGUAGCGGUGAAAUGCGUAGAGAUGUGGAGGAACACCAGUGGCGAAGGCGGCUUUCUGGUCUGUAACUGACGCUGAGGCGCGAAAGCGUGGGGAGCAAACAGGAUUAGAUACCCUGGUAGUCCACGCCGUAAACGAUGAGUGCUAAGUGUUAGGGGGGUUUCCGCCCCCCUUAGUGCUGCAGCUAACGCAUUAAGCACUCCGGCCUGGGAGUACGGCCGCAAGGCUG